rnacentral:rRNA from 1 species
GACGAACGCUGGCGGCGUGCUUAACACAUGCAAGUCGAGCGGUAAGGCCCUUUCGGGGGUACGACGAGCGGCGAACGGGUGAGUAACACGUGGGUGACCUGCCCUCAGCUCUGGGAUAAGCCUGGGAAACCGGGUCUAAUACCGGAUAUGACUCCAUGACGCAUGUUGUGGGGUGGAAAGCCUUGUGCGGCUGAGGAUGGGCCCGCGGCCUAUCAGCUUGUUGGUGGGGUGAUGGCCUACCAAGGCGACGACGGGUAGCCGGCCUGAGAGGGCGACC